UGGGGAAUAUUGGACAAUGGGCGCAAGCCUGAUCCAGCCAUGCCGCGUGAGUGAUGAAGGCCUUAGGGUUGUAAAGCUCUUUCGGCGGGGACGAUGAUGACGGUACCCGCAGAAGAAGCCCCGGCUAACUCCGUGCCAGCAGCCGCGGUAAUACGGAGGGGGCUAGCGUUGCUCGGAAUUACUGGGCGUAAAGGGCGCGUAGGCGGCCUUGCAAGUCAGGCGUGAAAGCCCCGGGCUCAACCCGGGAAAUGCGCUUGGGACUGCAGGGCUCGAGGUCGGGAGAGGGUAGUGGAAUUCCCAGUGUAGAGGUGAAAUUCGUAGAUAUUGGGAAGAACACCAGUGGCGAAGGCGGCUACCUGGACCGAAUCUGACGCUAAGGCGCGAAAGCGUGGGGAGCAAACAGG
rnacentral:rRNA from 1 species